rnacentral:rRNA from 1 species
AUUGAACGCUGGCGGCAGGCCUAACACAUGCAAGUCGAGCGGAUGAAGGGAGCUUGCUCCUGGAUUCAGCGGCGGACGGGUGAGUAAUGCCUAGGAAUCUGCCUGGUAGUGGGGGAUAACGUCCGGAAACGGGCGCUAAUACCGCAUACGUCCUGAGGGAGAAAGUGGGGAUCUUCGGACCUCACGCUAUCAGAUGAGCCUAGGUCGGAUUAGCUAGUUGGUGGGGUAAAGGCCUACCAAGGCGACGAUCCGUAACUGGUCUGAGAGGAUGAUCAGUCACACUGGAACUGAGACACGGUCCAGACUCCUACGGGAGGCAGCAGUGGGGAAUAUUGGACAAUGGGCGAAAGCCUGAUCCAGCCAUGCCGCGUGUGUGAAGAAGGUCUUCGGAUUGUAAAGCACUUUAAGUUGGGAGGAAGGGCAGUAAGUUAAUACCUUGCUGUUUUGACGUUACUAACAGAAUAAGCACCGGCUAACUUCGUG